UCGUCUUCCAUUGUUCCUGCCUCUGACCCUCCACCUCACCUGUGACCCCGUAGUUCUACAGAAAAGGGGUGUCUCACCCUCUGAAGAUCUUCUGUAAUCCCUGGAUGAUUGACCACGCAGUGCUCCUCGUGGGAUACGGACAUCGUAAUGGAAUCCCAUUCUGGGCCAUUAAGAACAGCUGGGGCGAGGACUACGGAGAGGAUGGCUAUUACUACCUCUACAGAGGGUCCAGGUUGUGUGGGAUAAACAAGAUGGGCUCCUCUGCUGUGGUGAACUAAACAGCAUCACUGGCUGGCCUCCAUAGAUAACUGCUGGCUAGCAAACAUACCCACUACCAACUCCAAAAUGAGCUACGUACAGCCUCCCUCCCGGGAGCAAUCAGGAAUUUAGGAAUUCAGACACUAGUGG